GGAGGAGUGGCGGAAUAUGGUAGACGCGCCCGGUUAGGAUUCGGGUGGGCCGGAAUAAGUCACAUUCCACGCGGCCCGUGCGGGUUCAAAUCCCGUCUCCUCCA
rnacentral:tRNA from 2 species